UUUCAAAAUAUACCAAGAAGAAUGCCUUUGCCACAGUCAAUAAAGCUUUAUUAUAGGAAUGGAUAGGUCACAUGGUUGAGGAUCUAUGCUUGUUCUGGUUGCAGUCCUGUGGAUCAAGGUGUUGUUCUCGAGUGCUAGAGUAAUUUGGUUAUCCUGUCGGCUCCCAGCUUCCAGGACUGUAUGUUGUUGGUUGGUCUGUGCUGUUCUUCUUUUAUCGUCUAUAGGUGGGACAUGCUCUUUACCCUGCAUUUUUGUAUCCUUUUUAGGCUGUCGGUUUUCCAUUCCGGGUAUAUAAAUUCCUUCUAUUGGAUGCUUUGGUGGACACAAAAGCUUAACACAUGUUACAUCGUGCUAUUUGCU